rnacentral:rRNA from 1 species
CAAAAACAUCGCCUCCUGACCGAACAUAGGAGGUCCAGCCUGCCCAGUGACAACAUUCAACGGCCGCGGUAUACUAACCGUGCGAAGGUAGCAUAAUCACUUGUUCUUUAAAUAAGGACUUGUAUCAACGGCAUCACGAGGGCUAUACUGUCUCCCCUCUCCAAUCAGUGAAACUGAUCUCCCCGUGAAGAAGCGGGGAUUAGUAUAUAAGACGAGAAGACCCCAUGGAGCUUUAAACCCAAUAUACACCCCUUCGCUCAAGCACCAAUUUAACCUCAAGGGCCUGUAUAUUGAUUUUAGGCUGGGGGGGCCACGGAGUAAAAUUAAACCUCCACAACAAAUGGGCUAAUUACCCUUAUCCACGACUUACAAAUCUAAGAAUCAUCAAAAUGAUGUUUAAUGACCCGAUAAUUCGAUCAUUGAACCAAGUUACCCUGGGGAUAACAGCGCAAUCCGCUUCAAGAGCCCAUAUCGACAAGCGGGUUUACGACCUCGAUGUUGGAUCAGGGUACCCCAGUGGUGCAACCGCUACUAACGGUUCGUUUGUUCAACGAUUAAAACCCUACGUGAUCUGAUUUCAGACCGG